rnacentral:tRNA from 1 species
GCUUCCGUAGUUAAAUGGAUAUAACAGUCCCCUCCUAAGGGACAAUUAUGAGUUCGAUUCUCGUCGGGAGUACCA